rnacentral:tRNA from 1 species
GCUUUGAUAGCUCAGUUGGAGAGCGUCAGACUGAAGAUCUGAAGGUCCCUGGUUCGAUCCCGGGUCAAAGCA